rnacentral:rRNA from 1 species
GACAGAGGGUGCAAACGUUGUUCGGAAUUACUGGGCGUAAAGCGCGUGUAGGCGGCCCUGCAAGUCGGGUGUGAAAUCCCACGGCUCAACCGUGGAAGUGCACUCGAAACUGCAGGGCUAGAGUCCUGGAGAGGAAGGUGGAAUGCUUGGUGUAGAGGUGAAAUUCGUAGAUAUCAAGCGGAACACCGGUGGCGAAGGCGGCCUUCUGGACAGUGACUGACGCUGAGACGCGAAAGCGUGGGGAUCAAACAGG